rnacentral:rRNA from 1 species
UACGUAGGGGCCUAGCGUUGUCCGGAAUCAUUGGGCGUAAAGAGCGUGUAGGCGGUUCGGUAAGUCGGCUGUGAAAGUCCAGGGCUCAACCCUGGGAUGCCGGUCGAUACUGCCGGACUAGAGUUCGGAAGAGGCGAGUGGAAUUCCCGGUGUAGCGGUGAAAUGCGCAGAUAUCGGGAGGAACACCUAUGGCGAAGGCAGCUCGCUGGGACGUUACUGACGCUGAGACGCGAAAGCGUGGGGAGCAAACAGG